UUAACCUACCCUUGACAUGUCUAGAAGGCUUAAGAGAUUGAGCUGUGCUCGCAAGAGAACUGGAACACAGGUGCUGCAUGGCUGUCGUCAGCUCGUGUCGUGAGAUGUUGGGUUAAGUCCCGCAACGAGCGCAACCCUUGUCAUUAGUUGCUACGAAAGGGCACUCUAAUGAGACUGCCGGUGACAAACCGGAGGAAGGUGGGGAUGACGUCAAGUCCUCAUGGCCCUUAUGGGUAGGGCUUCACACGUCAUACAAUGGUCGGGACAGAGGGUCGCCAAACCGCGAGGUGGAGCCAAUCCCAGAAACCCGAUCGUAGUCCGGAUUGCAGGCUGCAACUCGCCUGCAUGAAGUCGGAAUCGCUAGUAAUCGCGGAUCAGCAUGUCGCGGUGAAUACGUUCCCGGGUCUUGUACACACCGCCCGUCACACCAUGGGAGCGGGUUUUACCAGAAGUAGGUAGCCUAACCGGUAAGGGGGGCGCUUACCACGGUAGGAUUCGUGACUGGGGUGAAGUCGUAACAAGGUAGGCGUAGUGCU
rnacentral:rRNA from 1 species